UUGGUAUCUUAUGAGGAGAGGGAUACAGGUGGAUUGAAUGCCGAAAACAAUGAGCUGAAAGUGCGGGUGCAAUCGAUAGAGCAACAAGUUCACUUGCAAGAUGCGCUUAACGAUGCAUUAAAAGAGGAAAUUCAGCAUUUGAGAGUCCUUACCGGACAAGCUUUGCCAAAUGGAGGAGCACCUAUGAACUUUGCUUCAUCAGUUGGAGGAGAACAACAAUUCCAAUCCAAAAAUCAGUCGAUGCACACCAUUUUAGCUGCCCAGCAGUUACAACAACUCCAAAUUCGCUCACGGAAGCAACGGCAUCAACAGCAGCUAUUCCAAAACCAUCAACCUCAGCAUUUGCAACAGUUUCAGCAGCCACAACCACCACAGCAACAACAUAAACAUUAGCAUAGAAUUUAGGAACUGCACCAAUUACCCUUUAGUUUGUGUUGAGUCUAGAGUUUAAUUUAGGACAUAGUCAUUCUAUUAUCCCUUAUUCAAGAACAGUAGAAAUGGUUCUAAUAGUUAGAGAUUAAGGAUUAGAUUUUAUAUCUUUGCCAUGCAAACUAGUCUUCUUGUACCUUUAGCUAUGGUAAUGGAUCAUGGAGGUAUAUUUUUUUUGUUAGCUAAAUCUUGCCAUCAGUUUCUUAUGGUUUCAACUUUCAAGUUCAACUACACUUUUGUUUGUAUUGGGCUGAGUUUUUUAUUUUAGGCAUAAAACCUAGAGGCUAGAGUAGACAAAAAGAUACAAGAUAAAUGUGCUUUUCUUUUUUCUUUUUCUUAGUUAAUUUGAAAGGUAUUUUCUAAAAUAGUUU